rnacentral:rRNA from 1 species
GAUCCGUAACUGGUCUGAGAGGAUGAUCAGUCACACUGGAACUGAGACACGGUCCAGACUCCUACUGGAGGCAGCAGUGGGGAAUAUUGGACAAUGGGCGAAAGCCUGAUCCAGCCAUGCCGCGUGUGUGAAGAAGGUCUUCGGAUUGUAAAGCACUUUAAGUUGGGAGGAAGGGCAGUUACCUAAUACGUGAUUGUUUUGACGUUACCGACAGAAUAAGCACCGGCUAACUCUGUGCCAGCAGCCGCGGUAAUACAGAGGGUGCAAGCGUUAAUCGGAAUUACUGGGCGUAAAGCGCGCGUAGGUGGUUUGUUAAGUUGGAUGUGAAAUCCCCGGGCUCAACCUGGGAACUGCAUUCUAAAACUGACUGACUAGAGUAUGGUAGAGGGUGGUGGAAUUUCCUGUGUAGCGGUGAAAUG